rnacentral:rRNA from 1 species
UAUAUCUCUAAGGAUCGCAUGAUCCUUAGAUGAAAGAUGGUUCUGCUAUCGCUUUUAGAUGGACCCGCGGCGUAUUAACUAGUUGGUGGGGUAACGGCCUACCAAGGUGAUGAUACGUAGCCGAACUGAGAGGUUGAUCGGCCACAUUGGGACUGAGACACGGCCCAAACUCCUACGGGAGGCAGCAGUAGGGAAUCUUCCACAAUGGACGCAAGUCUGAUGGAGCAACGCCGCGUGAGUGAAGAAGGUCUUCGGAUCGUAAAACUCUGUUGUUAGAGAAGAACACGAGUGAGAGUAACUGUUCAUUCGAUGACGGUAUCUAACCAGCAAGUCACGGCUAACUACGUGCCAGCAGCCGCGGUAAUACGUAGGUGGCAAGCGUUGUCCGGAUUUAUUGGGCGUAAAGGGAACGCAGGCGGUCUUUUAAGUCUGAUGUGAAAGCCUUCGGCUUAACCGGAGUAGUGCAUUGGAAACUGGAAGACUUGAGUGCAGAAGAGGAGAGUGGAACUCCAUGU